rnacentral:ncRNA from 1 species
UAGGCGGACAGCAAGGUCAUGGAUGUACAGAUCGGCCACGAAAAGACUUUGACAGGACUGAUGCCGGUACUGGCCGGUGUGGAUCUGGUCUAUGGCC